CCGACCUUAACUCAGUCGGUAGAGCGGAGGACUGUAGUUGGAAAUUAAACAGAUAUCCUUAGGUCACUGGUUUAAAUCCGGUAGGUCAGA
rfam:Lupinus angustifolius cultivar Tanjil contig_18079, whole genome shotgun sequence.